GGGGCAUCGGGAGGGAAGCUUGCUUUCCUUGCCGGCGACCGGCGCACGGGUGAGUAACACGUAUGCAACCUGCCCUCUUCAGGGGGACAACCUUCCGAAAGGGAGGCUAAUCCCGCGUAUAUCGGUUUCGGGCAUCCGAGAUCGAGGAAAGAUUCAUCGGAAGAGGAUGGGCAUGCGGCGCAUUAGCUUGACGGCGGGGUAACGGCCCACCGUGGCGACGAUGCGUAGGGGUUCUGAGAGGAAGGUCCCCCACACUGGUACUGAGACACGGACCAGACUCCUACGGGAGGCAGCAGUGAGGAAUAUUGGUCAAUGGGAGAGAUCCUGAACCAGCCAAGCCGCGUGAGGGAAGACGGCCCUAUGGGUUGUAAACCUCUUUUGUCGGAAAACAAAACCCCGGGACGAGUCCCGGACUGCGUGUAUCCGCCGUUUUUGCAUCGGCUAACUCCGUGCCAGCAGCCGCGGUAAUACGGAGGAUGCGAGCGUUAUCCGGAUUUAUUGGGUUUAAAGGGUGCGUAGGCGGUCCGUUAAGUCAGCGGUAAGAUUGCGGGGCUCAACCCCGUCGAGCCGUUGAAACUGGCAGACUUGAGUUGGCGAGAAGUACGCGGAAUGCGCGGUGUAGCGGUGAAAUG
rnacentral:rRNA from 1 species